rnacentral:rRNA from 1 species
UACGUAGGGUGCGAGCGUUGUCCGGAAUUAUUGGACGUAAAGAGCUCGUAGGCGGUCUGUCGCGUCGAUCGUGAAAACUUGGGGCUUAACCCUGAGCUUGCGGUCGAUACGGGCAUGACUGGAGUUCGGCAGGGGAGACUGGAAUUCCUGGUGUAGCGGUGAAAUGCGCAGAUAUCAGGAGGAACACCGGUGGCGAAGGCGGGUCUCUGGGCCGAUACUGACGCUGAGGAGCGAAAGCGUGGGGAGCGAACAGG